CCUACGGGAGGCAGCAGUGGGGAAUAUUGGACAAUGGGCGCAAGCCUGAUCCAGCCAUGCCGCGUGUGUGAAGAAGGCUUUCGGGUUGUAAAGCACUUUCAGUGGGGAAGAACGCUUAUCGGUCAAUACCCGGUAGGAAGGACAUCACCCACAGAAGAAGCACCGGCUAACUCCGUGCCAGCAGCCGCGGUAAUACGGAGGGUGCGAGCGUUAAUCGGAAUUACUGGGCGUAAAGCGCGCGUAGGUGGCUUGAUAAGCCGGUUGUGAAAGCCCCGGGCUCAACCUGGGAACGGCAUCCGGAACUGUCAGGCUAGAGUGCAGGAGAGGAAGGUAGAAUUCCCGGUGUAGCGGUGAAAUGCGUAGAGAUCGGGAGGAAUACCAGUGGCGAAGGCGGCCUUCUGGACUGACACUGACACUGAGGUGCGAAAGCGUGGGUAGCAAACAGGAUUAGAUACCCUGGUAGUCCACGCCGUAAACGAUGUCGACUAGCCGUUGGGUUCCUCGAGGACUUAGUGGCGCAGUUAACGCGAUAAGUCGACCGCCUGGGGAGUACGGCCGCAAGGUUAAAACUCAAAUGAAUUGACGGGGGCCCGCACAAGCGGUGGAGCAUGUGGUUUAAUUCGAUGCAACGCGAAGAACCUUAC
rnacentral:rRNA from 1 species